rnacentral:rRNA from 1 species
GGUGAAAUUCCAAUCGAACCCGGAGAUAGCUGGUUCUCCCCGAAAUAGCUUUAGGGCUAGCGUCGAGGUAAGUUGCGUGAAGGUAGAGCACUGAAUAUGUGAUGGCCCCAUCUCGGGGUACUGAGCAUAAUCAAACUGCGAAUGUCACGAUAACAUGCUCGGCAGUCAGACAGCGGGUGAUAAGGUCCGUUGUCAAGAGGGAAACAGCCCAGACCAUCAGCUAAGGUCCCAAAAUGUAUGCUAAGUGGAAAAGGAUGUGGAGAUGUACAGACAACUAGGAGGUUGGCUCAGAAGCAGCCAUCCUUUAAAGAGUGCGUAACAGCUCACUAGUCGAAUGACUCUGCGCCGAUAAUUUACCGGGGCUAAGCAUACUACCGAAGCUAUGGAUCCCAAGGGAUGGUAGGGGAGCGUUCCAUGAACGGAGAAGUACGACCGAAAGGACGUGUGGAGAUCAUGGAAGAGAGAAUGCCGGUGUGAGUAGCGGAACGUGGGUGAGAAUCCCACGCACCGAAAACCCAAGGUUUCCAGAGGAAGGUUCGUCCGCUCUGGGUAAGUCGGGACCUAAGGCGAGGCCGAAAGGCGUAGUCGAUGGACAACAGGUAGAGAUUCCUGUACCCGUAUAUAUGUGAAGGAAUGACGGAGAGAGGAAGCUGCAGCCAGCGGCUGGAAGAGCUGGUGCAAGCGAGAUAUCGGGAUGGCAGGCAAAUCCACCAUCCGAAACGAGAAGGCGUGAAGCGUACGGAAAGCUACGGCGAGUACGGAAGGCAGUGGAGGAACUUCCAAGAAAAGUUUCUAACGUUAAGUAUAUAUGGCCCGUACCGAAAAUGGACACACAUGGGUGAGGAGAGAAUCCUAAGGUGAGCGAGAGAACUAUAGCUAAGGAACUCUGCAAAAUGACUCCGUAACUUAGGGAGAAGGAGUGCUCAUAGAGAUAUGAGCCGCAGUGAAACGGCCCAAGCGACUGUUUACCAAAAACACAGCUCUCUGCUAAGCCGCAAGGCGAAGUAUAGGGGGUGACGCCUGCCCGGUGCUGGAAGGUUAAGGGGAGGGGUUAACGCAAGUGAAGCCCUGAACUGAAGCCCCAGUAAACGGCGGCCGUAACUAUAACGGUCCUAAGGUAGCGAAAUUCCUUGUCAGGUAAGUUCUGACCCGCACGAAAGGCGUAACGAUUUGGGCGCUGUCUCAGCUGUAGACUCGGUGAAGUCUUAGUACCUGUGAAGAUGCAGGUUACCCGCGACUAGACGGAAAGACCCCAUGGAGCUUCACUGCAGGUUGAUAUUGGGAUUUGAUGCAGCAUGUACAGGAUAGGUAGGAGGCAAAGAGAUGGAUACGCCAGUAUUCAAGGAGCCGCUGUUGGGAUACUACCCCUGUUGUAUUGGAUUUCUAACCGGACGACGUAGAGCCGUUGACGGGACAGUGUCAGUCGGGCAGUUUGACUGGGGCGGUCGCCUCCCAAAGAGUAACGGAGGCGCCCAAAGAUACCCUCAGCUUGGAUGGAAACCAAGCGCAGAGUGCAAAGGCAAAAGGGUGUUUGACUGCGAGACCCACAAGUCGAGCAGGGACGAAAGUCGGGCUUAGUGAUCCGGCGGUGCUGAAUGGAAAGGCCGUCGCUCAACGGAUAAAAGCUACCCUGGGGAUAACAGGCUGAUCUCCCCCAAGAGUUCACAUCGACGGGGAGGUUUGGCACCUCGAUGUCGGCUCAUCGCAUCCUGGAGCUGAAGUCGGUUCCAAGGGUUGGGCUGUUCGCCCAUUAAAGCGGUACGCGAGCUGGGUUCAGAACGUCGUGAGACAGUUCGGUCCCUAUCUGUCGUGGGCGCAGGAAAUUUGAGAAGAGCUGUCCUCAGUACGAGAGGACCGGGAUGGACGCAUCAAUGGUGGACCAGUUGUCACGCCAGUGGCAUAGCUGGGUAGCUAAAUGCGGAAGGGAUAAACGCUGAAGGCAUCUAAGUGUGAAACCCACUUCAAGAUGAGAUUUCCCAUUGCGCAAGCAAGUAAGACCCCUUAAAGACGAUAAGGUAGAUAGGUCAGGAGUGUAAGCAUGGUGACAUGUUAAGCGGACUGAUACUAAUAGGUCGAGGGCUUGACCGA